UACAUAGAAAAAGUUAUCAAUUAGAUCCUAUUUAUCUAAUAUUGUUGGAAAUUUACAAAUUUCGUAUAAUAUAUUAUGUGGAAUUUUACUAACAUAAUUUGUAUUUCUAUGUAUAAUAUUAAUAUGAGGUAUGUUAAAUAUGUAAACAAAUACUACAUUCAUUAGUAAUAUUCGAAAUGUAAUCUAUAGGUAAACUUAACAAAAUCAUAACAAAUAUGUGACUGCCCUAUCUCUUGUUUAUAUUAUUUAACAGAGCUAGCUUGUUUCAAAACGAAAGCGACGACACAAGUUUUUAUAAACAAAAACCAAACACUUGAAGAGCAAUAAAUUAUAUUGUAACCCGAGCCGUUGCGUCAUGCGGUGACCUUGAAGUCGAUGGCAGCCCACUUGUUUGUGUUUGAGAACGCUUGGCGUAACAACGGUUAACCGACUUAGCUUAAAAAGAAGGUUAUCGAAUUCAUUCGUUCGUACGUACGUCAUAUUAUUGGAAAUUUAUAAUUUUCAUAUACACAUAACACAAAGCGCGAUUUAAACUUGGGAAGUAAGUUGUUGCUGUCAACCUUCUCCCACAGCCACGUCUGCUACCACGUCCUCCCCCUUAUCCUCGAAAGGCGCCUUCGUUAUUUAAUCUACAAAAUAUUAAAUAUACCUUCAUCAUAAGCUGGACCUUUAAAGGUUGUAAAAUAAACACAUUGAAUUAUAUUACGAUUAAACAUAUCCUAUUAUACUUUAUAAUAUUUUGUAUUAUGUAAACGAGAGCAAUUAUAAUUGUUGAAUUUUAGACAGAUUGUUUAUUUGAUAGAGUUGCUAAUAAAUAAUAAUUUCAAUUCUUAAUAAUAACAAUACUCUAAUGUAGUCAUCGCAGGAGACGCCACAAAUUACCAUCGGGAUGUAUGAUUGUGUCCCGUUCCUCUACAGUGCAGUUUUCAAGGAACUUUCUUCCACAUACAACCAAGCUGUGGAAUGAUUCUUUCAACAUAUUGAUAAUAAGAUAUAAUAUAAUAAGAGUAAUACUACACAAGUGGGAGGCUCCUUGCAUAGGAUGCCGGCUAGAUUAUGGGUACCAAAACGGCACCUAUUUCUGCCGUGAAGCAGCAUUUCGGUCUGAAGGGCGCCGUAGCUAGUGAAAUUACUGGGCAAAUGAGACUUCACAUCCUAUGUCUGAAGAAGACGAGCGUAAUUGUAGUGCAACUCAGGAUUUUUAGGCUUUUCAAGAAUCCUGACCGACACUGCAUUGUAAUGGGCAGUGCGUAUCAAUUACCAUCAGCUGAACGUCCUGCUCGUCUCGUCCCGUAUUUUUAUAAAAAAACACUGAAAAUUACGCGUGCUAGUUUAAGGACGCGUUCUCAAAACAAAGAGGUAUCGAACGCACCACUACACUGACACCGCUCAAACACAUACACGUACUUAAAGUUAAUUGCGGGAAUCAAAUGAAUUUGAUACUUUAUCAAGUUUGAAUUUUGUUUUUCUUAAUACCUAUGUUUUUUUGAUAAUUGGUUGAUGUAUUCGUUUAGUAGUUAAAUAUUAGAACUUUAGAUGGCAAUUAUGUCGCAUAACGACGUGUGCAGUAAACGCAGUUUUUUUUUAAUCCAAGAUGGCCGCCGCGAAAAAUUACGAUUUCAGCAAUAUGGAUAUCGAAUCCGAGGUUAUCGAGGAUGCAGAGAAAGAUUUUGGGAUCAUUAUUGUAACCCAAGAUGGCCGCCACGCAAAAUAAUGAUUUCAACAAUAUGGGUAUCGUAUCCGAGGUUCUCGAGGGUGCAGAGAACGAAUUUGGGAUCAUUUUUGAAGUGAAACUUCUUUGCCCGCAUUAGGGUAAAUUUUUUACGGAUAAACCGGAAUGGAUGUCACGAAAAUGAAGGACGUUUUUAUUAGAGAUGAAACGGAUAGCAGUUUGGCCGGAUACCGGAUAUUAGGCCGGAAAAGUUGGUAAAUUUCAUAGGCGCCAUCUUGAAAUUCGAAUUUGACCCAAUAUUCGUUAUUGUUGACCCCGAAAACCAUGAAAAUGAUACCCAUGAAGAGAAGUUGGUAAAAUUCAUAGGCGCCAUCUCGGAUUUCGAUUUUGACCCGAUGUUCGUUAUUGUUGACCCCGAAAACCAUGAAAAUGACACCCAUGAGGAGAAGUUGGUAAUUUUCAUAGGCGCCAUCUUGGAUUUAGAUUUUGACCCAAUAUUCGUUAUUGUUGACCCCGAAAACCAUGGAAAUGACACCCAUGGGGAGAAGUUGGUAAAAUUCAUAGGCGCCAUCUUGGAUUUCGAUUUUGACCCGAUGUUCGUUAUUGUUGACCCCGAAAACCAUGAAAAUGACACCCAUGAAGAGAAGUUGGUAAAAUUUAUAGGCGCCAUUUUGGAUUUCGAUUUUGACCCGAUAUUCGUUAUUGUUAACCCCGAAAACCAUGAAAAUGACACCCAUGAAGAGAAGUUGGUAAAUUUCAUAGGCGCCAUUUUGGAUUUCGAUUUAUUAUAGACCUUAUAUUUAGAGAUGAACUUAUAUAUCACUAAUUCUUCAAAAAAAAUAAAGAAACAUAAGUUUUUGAAAAUCGGACUGUGUACAAAAUAUAAUGUAAAGUAUCAAAGACAGUAUUGUAGAGCUUAUAAACGCAACUGUUCUAACAUCUAAAAUACUUGAGCAUCACUUUUUGUUGUACCGUAAUACUAUUAAUAAAAUAUUGUAAAGAAA